AAAGACUAAAUUUUCCUUACUAAACUAACCUUAACCCUUCCUCUUCAUAUUUUUCCUUCUCAUUUCAUCAGAAAACCAAACCCUAGCAGAGCCCAUCGUCCAUGAAAACCAAACCCUAGCAGUGCCCAAAUUCAUGGAGGCUCCACCGGUGUCGGCUUCGCCUCACCGCCGAUUUAGAUUUGCACGACCACCGCGCACCUCAUUCUAGAAGGAAGAUUCACUGCUUCUACGCUUGUUUUGUUUGCGUUCGUGUUUCCUCUUCUGCCACUCCGAGGUCGUGCGUAAGGGCGAUGAGCUCGAUUUCUCCGUUGGAUUCACUUCAACUUCGUUCCCGCUCGAUAACUUCUUCGUGUCGCCAAGGUGCGGCUGCAGAUUGAACUGCAAUGAUGAAGACAACAACGAAUUCAGAGUGAGGAAGCUUAAGUUAAGGAUUUCGUGUCGCCAAGAAUGGAUCCCAAACAAAAGAUGAGAAUUAUUGCCUGCUUGAUUUUACGUUUCGAACUAAUGAAUAACCUUAUGGUUAAGUUGUUGACGAUUUGCUAUGUUUUGACUAUAUCGCAAUUGAGAAAAAAGAAAAGAAAAUGGAAUCAUAGUUAUAGUAGGCAAGUAGUAAGGGAUGUUAGUAAUUAUAGGAUUAUUUAUUUUAGUGAUCUAGCAUGUAUAGAAAACACAAGAAUGGAUAGACAUGCGUUUUAUGCAUUGUGUAAUAUGCUUAGAGGGAUUGGAAUGUUAGAACCAAGUAGGAAUAUAGGUGUAGAAGAAAUGGUUGCCAUAUUUUUACAUAUUAUAGCACAUGACGUCAAAAUUAGAAAUAAAGAGACAAUUUCUGAGAUCUAAAGAAACAAUUAGUAGGCCAUUUAAUGAUGUAUUGCUUGCUAUUUUGAGAUAUCAUAAUCUCUUUUUAAAGAAACCUCAACCAUUUAGCCAGGAUAAAAUGGAUGAACGAUGGAAAUGGUUCAAGGUAAUUUAUCUUGCUAAUGCUAUUAAACCUGAUAUGCUUGGUGUGGUUUAGGAUUGAGUUAAUUGAUCUUUUUUUUUUGGAUUUUAGAAUUGCCUAGGAGCCUUAGAUGGUAUCCAUAUCAAGGUCAAUGUCCUUGAGGCUGAUAAGCCUAGAUAUCGAAACAGAAUAGGUGACAUAACAAUUAAUGUGCUUGGAGUGGUUGCUCCCGAUAUGUAAUUUAUCUAUGUACUGGCGGGUUGGGAGGGUUCAACUGUGAAUUCUAGCGGUAUUGUGAGAUGCACUAUUUCGCAAUGGGUAUACUGUUUCCUAAGGUAUUUUAUUGAGACUUUAGUAUGUUAUUAAAGUAACCAUUUGAUCUUUUA